UACGGAGGGUGCGAGCGUUGUCCGGAAUCAUUGGGCGUAAAGGGCGCGUAGGUGGCCCGGUCAGUCUUUGGUGAAAGCGCGGGGCUCAACCCUGCGUCGGCCAGGGAUACUGCCGCGGCUCGAGCACUGUAGAGGCAGGCGGAAUUCCGGGUGUAGCGGUGGAAUGCGUAGAGAUCCGGAAGAACACCCGUGGCGAAGGCGGUUCUCUGGGACGGUACUGACGCUGAGACGCGAAAGCGUGGGGAGCGAACAGG
rnacentral:rRNA from 1 species